GCUUCUGCGCAUCACAGAAGCUUCCCCACAUGCGCAGAAUCGGCCCCGCUGCGAACCGGUAGUAAAGGUGGAUUGAAGAAGCUGGAGACAGGCUUCAGACAACAGCUCUUCAUUCAGCAACUAUUUACAAUCCAGCAGCCAGCCACUCAAACAGCCUGGGAAACCAGCCAAUCACAUUGUCUGGGAAACCAGCCAAUCACAUUUAAGGAUUCUUCCCGCUCAAACAGUGGACCAGAGGGAAAACUAUCCUGUCAAUAUCUAACAGUCCUUAUCAAGAUUCUUCAGGCAUAGAUACCUUCUUUACUAGAUGUUCUAUGUUCAACUUUAACAGGAUUUAAACAUGCCUUGCACCUGAUGACUUUAUAAUACAUUUAACUUUAAAGUUAUACUGACCUGACUGUCAGUAGCUUGCGGGAAGGGAAGUUUUGUAUGCAGGUAUCCCAUUAAAGAUAUGUUGGAAGAAAUGUC